UUAGAGUUUGAUCCUGGCUCAGGAUGAACGCUAGCGGCAGGCUUAACACAUGCAAGUCGAGGGGCAGCGCGGGGUAGCAAUACUCUGGCGGCGACCGGCGGAAGGGUGCGUAACACGUGAGCAACUUGCCCGUAUCUGGGACAUAACCGAUGGAAACGUCGACUAAUUUCCCAUAACAACGAGGGUCACAUGACCCAUGUUUGAAAGACACGUCGGAUACGGAUGGGCUCGCGGGACAUUAGCUAGUUGGAGUGGUAACGGCACACCAAGGCGACGAUGUCUAGGGGUUCUGAGAGGAAGGUCCCCCACAUUGGAACUGAGACACGGUCCAAACUCCUACGGGAGGCAGCAGUGAGGAAUAUUGGUCAAUGGACGGAAGUCUGAACCAGCCAUGCCGCGUGAAGGAAUAAGGGCCUAUGGGUCGUAAACUUCUUUUGUGGUGGAGCAAUAAGGCGUACGUGUACGUCGAUGAGAGUACAUCACGAAUAAGCAUCGGCUAACUCCGUGCCAGCAGCCGCGGUAAUACGGAGGAUGCGAGCGUUAUCCGGAUUUAUUGGGUUUAAAGGGUGCGUAGGCGGGCCUUUAAGUCAGCGGUGAAAUACCCCGGCCCAACCGGGGGGCUGCCAUUGAUACUGUGGGUCUGGAGUCCGAACGGCGCCGGCGGAAUAUGCAAUGUAGCGGUGAAAUGCUUAGAUAUUGCAUAGAACACCGAUCGCGAAAGCAGCUGGCGAGGACGGCACUGACGCUGAGGCACGAAGGUGCGGGGAUCAAACAGGAUUAGAUACCCUGGUAGUCCGCACAUAAACGAUGAUGACUUGUUGUCGGCGAUAGACGGUGGGCGACAAAGCGAAAAGCGAAAAGUUCAUCCCCCUGGGGAGUACGAUUCGCAAAGGUUGAAACUGCAAAGGAAUUGACGGGGGCCCGCACAAGCGGAGGAGCAUGUGGUUUUAUUUUGAUGAUACGCGAGGAACCUUACCCAGACUCAAAUGGGGGUCGGCAGGCGCGGAGACGCGCCCUCCCUUCGGGGCGGCCUUCAAGGUGCUGCAUGGUUGUCGUCAGCUCGUGCCGUGAGGUGUCAGGUUAAGUCCUAUAACGAGCGCAACCCCUACGUCCAGUUGCCAGCGGGUCGAGCCGGGGACUCUGGACGGACUGCCGGCGCAAGCCGAGAGGAAGGCGGGGAUGACGUCAAAUCAGCACGGCCCUUACGUCUGGGGCGACACACGUGCUACAAUGGCCGGUACAGAGGGCAGCCACGCCGCGAGGCGGAGCGAAUCUCGAAAGCCGGUCUCAGUUCGGAUCGGAGUCUGCAACCCGACUCCGUGAAGUUGGAUUCGCUAGUAAUCGCGCAUCAGCCAUGGCGCGGUGAAUACGUUCCCGGGCC
rnacentral:rRNA from 1 species